rnacentral:tRNA from 1 species
AGCAUGUUAGAUCAGAGGAAGAUCGCCAGGCUCAUAACCUGGAUGUGUAAGUUGCCCUUUUCGGAGCAUCAGUAUGAGUCACAGUUAACUAACGCCGUCAACAGCCCUGGAUCGAAACCAGGACAUGCUA